GGUCCUGCCUCCCUCGCAAACCCCAGCCCCUGUGGUGAACCGUGUGUGCUGGGCACUUGGGCGGAGGUCCCGCUCGCCUGCCCAUCCCCAGGAGCAGAAGAGCUGCACAAAGGACCCCCAGCGGAGGAACUAGGAGCCCAGGCCUCCACUUUGUCGGACCAGUCCAUCUCGCACGUUUCCUUGUGCUCGCGAUUCAUCCUGGGGAGAGCGGGCAGGGCCUGCUGUCUGUGCGGGAGCUCCUGAAUGUUCCGGAUGAGGUCUGCCUCCUGGGGAAGAAUACCCCCGUCCCUGGUAUGAAUGCUGCCAUGGCCUGGGCCCUGCCUCACCCCCACGUGGGAGCCAUAAUGGGGCAGGGGGCAGAGCAGGAACCCUGGACCCGGAGCUAAGUCACGCACAAGGUCGGGGUGCUGGCGGCGCUCCCGGCACUGCAGGUUGUCGGUGGCUAUGGAGAAGGGCACGGCCGUGGCAUCCAGGGUGCGCUCCAGCCGCUGCUUCUGGG